CCUACGGGAGGCAGCAGUAAGGAAUCUUCCACAAUGGACGAAAGUCUGAUGGAGCAACGCCGCGUGCAGGAUGAAGGCUUUCGGGUCGUAAACUGCUUUUAUAUGGGAAGAUUAUGACGGUACCAUAUGAAUAAGGACCGGCUAACUACGUGCCAGCAGCCGCGGUAAUACGUAGGGUCCAAGCGAUAUCCGGAAUUACUGGGCGUAAAGCGUGUGUAGGUGGAUUAAUAAGUGUGAUGCGAAAUCCGGCGGCUCAACCGUUUGGAUUGUGUCGCAUACUGUUAGUCUAGAGGACGGCAGAGGUAAGUGGAAUUACGGGUGUAGCAGUGAAAUGCGUAGAUAUCCGUAGGAACACCAAUGGCGAAGGCAGCUUACUGGGCCACACCUGACACUGAGACACGAAAGCGUGGGGAGCGAACAGGAUUAGAUACCCUGGUAGUCCACGCCGUAAACGAUGCAUACUAUUAGUAUGGGGUAUCGACCCCCUGUGCUGAGAAGCUAACGCGAUAAGUAUGCCGCCUGGGGAGUACGAGCGCAAGCUUAAAACUCAAAGGAAUUGACGG
rnacentral:rRNA from 1 species